CCCCACGAUCUUGAUUUUAAAGUUUAAACUGCGGUCCAAUCAUCACAGACACAAUCUCAUAAUAUUCAGGCAGAUGUAGAUGGGGAAAUCUCAAAUUUCAACAUAUGUUCAGAUUCUCUUUGGACCCUUUCUUCAUCGCCCUGUCUUUAUCUCUCUAUUACUAUUAUCAGAAUCCAGUUCAGAUUUCAUUCAAUUGGAAAGAGAAAAACUAUGAGCUGUUUCAUGUGUCGCUUAUUAAUAAUCUUUGCACUUUGUCAAUGAGAAUGCAAUUGAUACAUAUAAGCAAAUUCCUUCAGCUGCACCCAUUAUUACUCAAGUUGUAGCCAUUGUUGAAGGCUUACUUCAGUUGCUUGAACAUACUUCAAUAUUUUAGAGGGUUGUGGAUUGUGAGGAUCAUCCAUAUUCUUAUUUACUUUUUCUCGUAAGUUGCAAUAAACAAAGCAAAAUGAUUCCCCUUGUUUAUCAAAGCUCGUGUGCUUUUGGACUCCGAUGGUUGUGAGUACUGAUGUUGAAACAAGAAGAAGAGUCUAAUGACUAAUGGUGUCUCGAAUUAUUUUUGCUGUCUGUACAACGUGGCUCGUUUUCAUUCAAACAAUUCUGCUCUGGUAUGGUUGAUUGCGAUAGUGUUGUUUCUUGCCAAUAUCACUGAAAACCAAUAGUCGUCCUAACAACAGAAGCAUGCUGAUAGGUACUAAAUCCAAGAGUAUGUGGAACAAUCAGAAUGAAGCCAAUGAGAGAAACUUUAAAUAAAGAAUAUAAAAACUAAGGAGAUUUAGAUCAGUUACUUCAACAGGGUACAUGAGUUAUUGUAAAAUUUUGAUGUCACGGCCAGAACAUUUGCAGGAUAUCAAGUAUUGAGUUCUGCACCAAGAGAUAAUCUCAAACGGUUCCCUUCUAAAUAGCAGUCAAUAUCAGUAGUUUUAUUGUUGCACUGUGUAUUCCAACUUUUAUCUUAAAGAAGAGAAGGCAACUUACUGCAGCAAUGGAAACCAAUUGCUUAAGGAAACCUUGCCUUGACAUUAACAAAGUCAAAAGCACGACAGGCAUAUUGCAAAAUCUAAGCACCAAAAAUUGAUACUGCAAUAUUUCAAAAUGAUCCCAGCCCUUAUGAACCGAAGUGGAGGUUGAGGUUGGCUACAGUUCCUGGAGUAUUCCUUUGGUUUUAAAUAAAGGUGUUUGGACCAGUGACCAUUCAGAGCCAGUGAUGAUCGGCUUGAAAUAGAGGCUUAUAGCAUCAAUUUUAAUCGCAUGAGGAUUGAUAUUUCAUUUUUGACUUGUAAAGAAUUAUUGUAACCAUGUAGUUUCUAUUGUAAUAUCUGAUUUUGCAGGUUUUAAGAAAAUACUUUUUAACGUUA